rnacentral:tRNA from 4 species
CGGGUUGUGGCGCAGCUUGGUAGCGCACCUCGUUCGGGACGAGGGGGUCGCAGGUUCAAAUCCUGUCAACCCGACCA